rnacentral:lncRNA from 1 species
UUUUGAAUGCCCUGGAAUUGCGCUGGAAGAAAUGCUUGCUUAGGCCACUCAGUGUGAUACCUGCAGUAUUGUCGAAUAUAGGUUUUAGUGUACAUAGUUGGCAUUUUCAUAACAUCUUUGGCAUGUUGCAGUCACUUGUUUCACUUUUUAUUAACUGUCAAAUUAUAAUUGCUUCACCAGGUCUACCUCUAAAAAGAAAAACAGAGCUAUAAACAAAGGAAUAUGUUUGUGCAAGUAGACGGCCGAUCGGUGUCUUACCUGGAAAUUCUCAGGAUGGGUGUAGCAUAUGCCGUGCUCGAUGUCGAUGGUUGGUAUGAACAAAUCGAUUAGAGGGUGAGAUCUCGCGCUGUCAGCACUCACUUUGGCCUCAAGGUGCUCGAUCAGCUCCUGAUCCGUGGGAUCGAACUUGACGCCAGCCGGCAGCACCGGCCAAUCCUUCUUCGACUUGCAUUGGUUAAUUCCAGUUAUAUGGUACUCAAUGUAUGAUCAAUCGACUGUUUUCAGUGAAUGAUGAAAGAUUUCGAUAGAUAAGUGGUACUCCAAAUCUGAAGUCCAGAAUACCCGAACAUGCCGCCGGGAUUCUUGUGUCACCACACGCACAGCGUGUUGUCACGUCAAUUCAAUGUGUGGACAUGAUGAAUAAUUUGACCGACGUAUACUAGUACUGCUACUGUACUACUUACUAGUCGUAUUUAGUGCCACAUUUUAACCAUAGGUUUAACUAACAAGUACGCACUUGAAGCCUAAUUGAUAUAUAUAUAUAUAUAAAUAUAUAUAUAUAUAUAUAUAUAUAUAUAUAUACUGCACAACAUCUCCAUCAUCAUUAUCAGUACAUCCUGCGCAGGUGAGUUAGGAUGCACUUGAUCCCAGAAAGGUAUCUAUCCUUCAAACCAGAGGAGUGCUUCAAACUAACAACAGUACAUAAUAUCCAACAAAAGAGGGUCGUGCUACAGCAGCAGAAUACAUGGCUCAGUCUAGAUAUCAGUACGAAUCAAGUUGUGCAUAUUUGCUGUUGGCAUGAACCACAUCGCCGCAUGUCGGGUUUGCAAAAGCCAUCCAUCGCAUGGAAGCUUGAUGCCUUUCACACACUGAAGAUUAUCUGGCAACAAGUUGUGUCGACGAAUCUCUGGAUAUGGUGAUUCAUGAAACCCAUGGUAUGAUGUGUAAACACAGUCCCCCUGGCGAAUGGAAGUUGCAUAGCACGGUAAUCAUCGCCGGUGAUAUGAUCGAUGAUUGGUUGGAUGAUCGGAUAAUUGAGCCCGAGGAACAUGGAGCGGUUGCCGAGGUUGUAAACCCGCCUCCAGUUGAAUAGGCCUGGCCCAACGGAGCUGGGAUCUUUCUCGAACACGAAGCAGCCAUGGCCAUCAAUGUCACGAAUGCCCCAGGCAUUGUACUGCAUGUGGUUUGAGGGAUGGCCUGGCCAGCGGUGGGAGUAGUAGGGGGCGGUGAGGCCUCCACGGCAUCAUAGCCGGCCACGGGAGGCAGGAGCACGCGGCACGACCAGCGCUGGUUUGGGCGGCUGGAGCAAGAAGACCAGAGGUUGAAGAAGCACUACGGCCGUUGGAUGGACAUCGUACAGUCACUGGAGCUAGAAUCGUUCAUAUAUUGACUAAGUUGACAAAGCCCUCCGUCCCCGUCAACUUAGUAGGCCCACAAGUCAGCCUCCCACUGUGGUGGGUCCCAGCUGGCAGGGGGGUAUUCAUUUUUUUGUGCGCAAUAAGGAGGCACUUCCUUGCGUGCGAAGAUAUAGUUGGUGGGUCCGACCUGUCAGCGGAGGGAACUUUUUUUCAUGAAAUACAGAGGCCCUUCCGGCGGGUCCCAGAUGUCAGGUGGAGGAAUCGUUAUUUUGCGCGUAAUAAGGAGGCAUUUCCUUGUGUGCGGCCGUGGACCCAGCUGUCAGCCUCUCCACGUAUAGUCCACUUCCGAGGGAUGUCGUUCAUUGACCACGUUGACCACGCCGUGCCGAGAGCACCAGGGCGGUGGACGACGGCGAUGCCUACGAAGGGAAUGACACGGAGCCGGGGAAGACACGGCAGUGGCUGCCCACGCCGUGGAGAGUACGAGGGUUGACUGGUUGGCAGCCGUCGCCGGAAAAUAACAGGAGGUGUGGGUGAGUACAGGGAUAGACAGGCCAGGGAUGCGAGUAUAUGUCUAUAUGAUGGGGCCGUGAGGCCUGCCCGGCAGCACAGCCGGCCACGGGAGGCGGGAGCAGGCGAUUCCGACGGCGCUGGUUUGGGCGGCUGGGGCAGGAAGAUCAGAGACUGAAGAAGCAUGAUUGCCGUUAGAUUGACAUCUAACGGUCUGACGCUGGUAGAGUCGAUUGUUGACUAAGUUUCUUUUUUGAGAAACCUUGUGUACGCAUGAACUUAGUAGGCCCACAAGUCAUCCUCCAAAUCUAUGGCAGACAACAUAGAGCCCAUUUGCUAUUUUUUAAUAAUUUGCAGCCCAUUUGCUAAUUCUUUAGUAAUUUAUUACAGCCCAUUUUCUGCCCAGGACCACGGUCAAAAAGUUCAACCUUAUUUUGCAUAUUUCGGUGGAGUCCGAACUUUUGUAAUCCCGAAAUGAUAAACAUUUUUUUAAGAACUUAUUUAUUUGCCAAAAAAACGUUUUGUUUUUGUAAGCAAAUAAGACGUGGGACAAUUGAGUUGGUUUAAGGGAAAACCAGUGGUAAAAAAAUCAGCGCUGGGAGGGAAAACAACAACAAAAAUAAGGAUGUAAAUAUGAAAAGGGAAUUUUAUGCAUUUUCAAUAUAAUGAUAUGUGUAUAUGAACUAGUAAAACUAUAGGUAGAGAUUAGAAAACGGAUGUAGGACAUGCGUUUCAAGAGGAAAAUAGAACUGGGCUGUGUGUUUGAUUCAGUAAAAAAACUGCCUGCGGAUAUUGUAAGACAAAAUAUAACUAACGCUGGCGGGCCAGAGGCCAGUAGAUACCUGCUGGAUCUUUGUGCCCUGUUGUCGACAUGGGCUGGGCCUGUUAAAAACAAAACCAAGCCUGGGCAGUCUACAGCGCAGUUGAAACUUGCUCGACCUGAAAAAACAAUAUACGUGCUCAAUAAACAAGAGAAUUCUGCAAGUACAGACUGAUAAUUGGGAUGUACUCCCUCUGUUCCCAAAUAUUUGUCUGUCUAGAGAUUUCAACAAGUGACUACAUACGGAGCAAAUUGAGUGAAUCUACACUCUAAAAUAUGUCUAUAUACAUCCGUAUGUUGUGUCCAUUUGAAAUGCCUAGAAAGACAAAUAUUUGGAACUGGAGGGAGUAGCAGGGAUAUUGUUUUUUCAUCGUGAUAAUAAGUGCAUGCACUUGUUUCGAAAAAUUUGGAGAACUGGGAAUUCAAACGGCAGGUGCUUAUGCUACCCAUCAAAUAAAAAUCAGGUGCCUGAAAAUUCGUUUCGAAACAAAUGAUUCAGCUUUAUAUCCACGUCGACCCUCGGCAUGGUGGUUGGAAGCAAAUGCCAAGUUCAUACCAAAGAUCGUUAACAACAAUACCAACUUGCGGACGACAAGGUAGUACAAGUACCAAUACCAAACUAAUUUAUAAUCUUUUCACUCCUGGCCCUAGUGUUCGUAUGGUAGAAAAUCUUGCAGAGGACCAGCUCCCGCUCCUUCUCUUGCUCCAGGUCCCCGAGGUGGUACUGGUGCAUCACCCAGUUGCUCCUCUGCUAGUCGAAGUUCUUGUUGGUGUGCAGCACCAGAACCUUUUUGCUGCCCGUCUGCCGGCCGUUGACCAUCACCGGCAAGGUAUUGCCGGUGUUGUGCCACAUCGCGUGCAUGCCGCACUCCAACUGUAUCUUGUGACGCGUCCAUGUGCCCCUUUUGAAUGCCCUGGAAUUGCGCUGGAAGAAAUGCUUGCUUAGGCCACUCAGUGUGAUACCUGCAGUAUUGUUGAAUAUAGGUUUUAGUGUACAUAGUUGGCAUUUUCAUAACAUCUUUGGCAUGUUGCAGUCACUUGUUUCACUUUUUAUUAACUGUCAAAUUAUAAUUGCUUCACCAGGUCUACCUCUAAAAAGAAAAAC